rnacentral:lncRNA from 1 species
CAAUCAUCACACCUGCCCACCAAUCACUACUUAAACCCUGCUUCAAUUGAUUCCAUUUAAGCGUUAUGAAAAGACAGGUGCAAGAGAAAAAGGAGGACGGAUGGUGUAGCCUACUUUCCAUACAAUUAUUUCCAGUCUUUGUACGUUUCACACACUGGACAAGAGGGGCGUCGGGAAAAGAAACUGAUGGCUGUGUGUAAAAGAUUUGAACUUCAGAUGGCAACUGUUGUGUGUCUGAUGAUUACGAUAUAUAUGAUGGUCUACCAUAAUGUUCAUGGAGAGCUAAUCCAAGAGGUUCCCACUCAACAAAAACUGAGGACUACGUCUGUAUUAUCCAGAAUGCUGUUUGCUUCGCCUAACUCUCCUCUGCAGUAUCCUAUUCAGGGUUUUAAAGUACGGCCUUUGACCUCCACUCUCAUACCAGGUCUUUUCGGAUAAAUUCCCCCACACUGUAAGAGGUUAAUGAGCUCUCUCCAACCGAACUCGGCACAGCAGGAAAGUCAGAAAACCAACCUGCAUGUGAAUGAUUCUUACAGUAUCUGAUGCCCACUGCUGGUUUAUAGUAUGAAAAGCCCCUUCAAUUCAUGAAACCUCUGCAGCAUUUGAAGGCAGCAGGAAUGAAGCUGAUAAAGCUAUAAAUAAAUAAAGCUAUGUCAAGUAACGUGGCAGUCUUUCUUGAUAUUGAAAAUUGAUAUUAAUCGUAUUAUAUGGUGCUGGGAUUAGAGGGAUAAUGUUUAAUUGGAUUUAGAAUGUAUUAUGCAAUAGAUCAAUACAGGUAAGAGCUGGU